UGUGCUGUAGAGUCAGUUGGAAGUUAAAUGCCAAGGAAGAACCUGGGAGAAAGGAACUCAGGCUGAAAGACAGUAAACUGUAAGUGGUUGUGUGUUGAACUGUGUACUUCUUGGAAAGGAUCACCUUUUGUUAUGCUGGUUUUUCUUCUUCUUUGUGAAACAACAAAUCCUCUUUAUUUUAAAAAUAUUUGGAUACUCUCUAUUGGAGGACCAUCCCAUGCCUAUAGCAUUCCCUGCUAUCAAAGGCAAUAGGUAUUAUAGGAGAGGACUACUGAAGAUCAAUGGUGGCAUCACAGGCAUCAGAUGAAUUUUAAAUGAAGUAGAAAUGUAAAGAUAGUUGGAUGGCUAAUGGAAGUGGCACGCAAGACAGAGAGAAGCUGCAGGCUGAUGAAACACAAAUAGCUGCUGGACACACAAUCACACAUUUAACAGGGAUGAAGUGAACUCCUUAGACAAAGAGGUGUCCCUGGAAAUACAGAUAUUAAAGAAAGACACAAUUGCCAUCUGUCCUGAUGAUGUUCCAAAGACUGGGGAUAUUGACCCUUCACAGACUACUUGUGGUCCCUGUUGAAAGGACUGAUCCAAGGCCUUGUGCUACCCACGGUGAAUUAGCAGUUUGCUCCCUUGCCUUUUCUGCUUUGCAUCUUUGGGAAAAACUACUCAUCACAUGAAAAUGCAUCAAAACCCGCAAGAGAGUCAGCUAGGAAUUUUAUUUCAGACAAAUGGAAGAAGCAGAGACAGUUCUCAACAACCCAUAAAUAAUGGUUAUCAACGGGAACCUGUGAAUAAUAAACUAUACAUGCAUAUUAAUCUCUAUAACAUAUUAAUAUACACAACUGAAAAGUUUUCAUUUCUAUGUUCUUGUUUUCUCUCACACCCUACUCUGACUGAGUACUCUUUCCUAACUGACUCUAACGGACUUCAACUGCCUGGAAGUGUCCUUGUCCAUCACAUGCAGCAAUUGUGGUCUGGUUCAAACCACAAAAGUUGCGGUCUGGUUCAAACCUUACACAGAGCAAGAAUUGAAUCCUAGUUUCAAAAGAUGUUCCCUAGCAUUGGGUAUGUGGGUUCUCCCUUCCCUUCAUAUGUGAAGGGAGGAAAUAUUGUUAACAGCAGCCAAACUGGGCAAAUUCUGACUUCUUCUGAAUUGAGUUUGCAUAUGCCAGGAUCAGAAGCAGACUCCUUCCUCCUCUCAUGGACGGAUAGCGGAGUGCAUCCCCAAGGAUGCAGGGGAUCCCCAAGGCAAGGGGAUCUUGUGCCAAACCAGAAGAGCACCAUUUUGGAUUCCAAAAUGGAACUCAGAACAGUUGGAACACCCCAACUUGGGAUGGGGUCGUUCUGUUCUGAGCGCAGAACAAGCCCUUCAUUCGUAGGGCAUUCUGUUCCAAGCUCGGAACACACGAAAUGGCCCAUUUCAAGGCAGAAUGUUCGACACAUCCCUAAUAUAUAUAUAUUAUUUAUAUUUAUAUUUGCUGCUAAGAAAACCAAUUUUGGGACGCUGUGAUUUUGAGCCAAUAUCACAGCAGGACACGCCCAAUAACAGGGCAUGGACGUGCUGCCCAUCAGCCUGUCCUAGCUGGCAAGCCCUUGAGUGAAGUGCACACUGGCCGAGGCAGGCCAAGGGGCAACGCGUCCAGCAGCUGUCGGGUGCUGGUGGUGGAAGGGGCCCUCUGGUAGCACCUGGACACCAGUGGCCCAGUGGCAUUUGUCCCCCCUCC